rnacentral:tRNA from 1 species
GCCUGGGUGGCUCAGUCGGUUGAGCCUCCGACUUCGGCUCAGGUCACGAUCUCACAGUUCGUGGGUUCGAGCCCCGCGUCAGGCU